rnacentral:misc_RNA from 1 species
AACGCACAUUGCGCCUUAUGGUAUUCCAUAAGGCAUGCCUGUCUGAGCGUCAGCUCCCCCCCACUCAAGCUCUUUUGCUUGGAUUAUUUUGGGCGAGCAACUGUAAAAGGUUGCUGUCCACAAAUUCAUAGGCAGUAUGGUCUUUUCCAAGCUGAACGUAAUAAUUAAAAAAAAUCACGUUUACUUUGAGAGAUAUUGUACUUGCCCUUAACCCACAAACUUUUUUAUGGGUGACCUCAGAUCAGGUAGGGAUACCCGCUGAACUUAA